rnacentral:rRNA from 1 species
UACGUAGGGUGCAAGCGUUAAUCGGAAUUACUGGGCGUAAAGCGUGCGCAGGCGGCUAUGCAGGACAGAUGUGAAAUCCCCGGGCUCAACCUGGGAACUGCAUUUGUGACUGCAUGGCUAGAGUACGGUAGAGGGGGAUGGAAUUCCGCGUGUAGCAGUGAAAUGCGUAGAUAUGCGGAGGAACACCGAUGGCGAAGGCAAUCCCCUGGACCUGUACUGACGCUCAUGCACGAAAGCGUGGGGAGCAAACAGG